CGGCGUGCCUAAUACAUGCAAGUCGAACGCAUUGUGGUUGAAAUGAUAUGAAGAACUUGUUCAGAUUUGAUUUCAACAUUGCAAUGAGUGGCGAACGGGUGAGUAACACGUGGGAAACCUACCUCUUAGCAGGGGAUAACAUUGGAAACAAAUGCUAAUACCGUAUAAUAAUUAAAACCGCAUGGUUUUAGUUUAAAGAUGGUCUUGCUAUCACUAAGAGAUGGUCCCGCGGUGUAUUAGUUAGUUGGUGAGGUAAUGGCUCACCAAGACAAUGAUACAUAGCCGAGUUGAGAGACUGACCGGCCACAAUGGGACUGAGACACGGCCCAUACUCCUACGGGAGGCAGCAGUAGGGAAUCUUCCACAAUGGACGAAAGUCUGAUGGAGCAACGCCGCGUGUGUGAUGAAGGGUUUCGGCUCGUAAAACACUGUUGUAAGAGAAGAAUGACAUUGAGAGUAACUGUUCAAUGUGUGACGGUAUCUUACCAGAAAGGAACGGCUAAAUACGUG
rnacentral:rRNA from 1 species